AGUAGUGUGAGUUAAAUAUAACUCCCAUGGCAGUUACUGUGUUAAAGGCCAGAGACAGUAUCUGAUGAUGGUGACAGGCCUCCAGUUGUCUGAGCAGUCCUAGAUUCACAAUUGUCUAACAGGAGUCAAAAUGUUGCUCAGAGCCCAACAACCAAUGCCAGUUUCCUCGGGUAACCAGUGCUGUGAGGACAGGGAGAACUCUGCAAAAGGCAAGGGGCACCAGACCUAACGCAAUCCCAGGUCAUCAGGUCAGCGAAGGUGGCCCACGCACACAGUUUGGCCUUGUAUCCAGAGUAAGAGGCACGUGGCUGUGGGUUGGUCUCACUCCCUGAGCAACAAGACACACAGCAGAAGAUGAACAAGUAAGCUAAAGUGGCUUACCAGGAUGCCAAGAGCCAGGGGCUUGGGUCUUUCAAAAUGGAGUCACCACGGAGGACGUGGUGUCUGGGUUGGACCAGCUCCACCAAAUACUAGCUGUAUGAUCUUGGACAAACCACUUGCUCUCAGCCUCAGUUUCCCCGUGUAUAAAAAGGAAAUGAUGAGUUUCUGAUUGCAGGGACUGUUGUAAAGAAAACAUGAAAUGGCAUGGCAACGCUGGUAUUAAGCACAAUGCCUCACUCCUAAACCUUGUUGGAGUCAGUUGGAUGCAAGCUCCACGAACUCUCCCCGCCCCCGCCAGCUGCCCUGCUGCACACGCUUCCGGAAACCCCUUCACCGCAGUCUCCCUCAGCCGAACGCGGAUCCUUCCGCGUCGCGUCACUUCCGUUAGCCUCUGGCUUCCGCUCUUCGAAAUACCCGGAUGCAAGAGUCAUGGCUGCCAUCACUGGGGACCAGCAAUGGAGAUCGAGCCCAGGGUUGCCCAGAAAGGCGUUCAGAGCCUGAGGCUUCAAGGAGGACUGUCAAGAGACAAAGAAUGAGAUUGCUGGGCAGCAGGGUGCCCCAGACAGUCCUAGGAGCUUCCUGUUAACUUGCGGCCAAGUUAUUCUAAAGUCGCCCCUCUUGGCAGGGAGGGGCCUCACUUCUCACCCGCCCCUUCUUUGUGUGCUGAGUUUUUGCUUCCGUCACUUCCCGCAGCCCUGAAGCUAGGCGGGCAGUGGGGCGGUAGCCUGGGAAGGGCGGGCCGGAUGCUGGAACAGAGAGAGGAUGUCCUGUAAGUUUUGUCACGGAGUGAAACAGGAACAAAUACUUUAUAUCAAAUAUAGAUGAGUUCAAAAAUUUGACAUUUGGAGAGAAUCUCAGUGACUCAAUAAAAUCAGAAAGGCAAGGAAUGCUUGAAAGGAAGACCAGAAACAACAUUUUAAAACCCUCUCAUUAUAUUAUAUACAGCAAAGAUGAAUUUAUAAGCAUCUAAUUUAAACUCUAGGGUAAGUAAAUUUUAAAAAAAGUUUUUAGAGAACAAGGAAUACAUUUCAACAUAUGAAUUUUGGGGGAAAAAAGAAAAUUAAGAGAUAAGGAAUACAAAUGGAAUGUUGCUAAUUUAAGACAUCAUUGUUUUUAAGUUUGGUAUAUUUAAGGUAAAGGGUUUUACAAGUACACCAACAAUUUUGUUCUUCAGAUCCUGAUUUUUUUCCCCUUGGAGGCCUCAACCAUGACUUCUUUUAAUAUGGGAUAUUCAGAAAUUUUAUCCUACAAGUUGGUGAAGAAAUAUUGCAUUUUCUUUCUGAUCUUUAUUAGAAAAUCAUUCUUUAUAGUCAAAUGCUUCAUGGCCCAUUUUUGCAGGCAGGAUAUUCUUUUUGUGCUCUGCUUCCUAAUUUGGGGACUAAGAAAACCCUUUCAUUUAACUGAUGACAUUUAUGAACUGCCUACACAGGUUUAAGAGAUAGACAUGAAAUAAUGACUACAUUUUUCCCCAGCCCUGGAAAUCCCUAUAUGAGAGUGACAUUUAAACAUAUACAUGUGGUGAAGUAUGACCCAGACUGUGGAGGAAGUAUUUGCAGGGUAGAGAGUAUUUGCCUUUGCUCAAGUGAUCCUUUUCAAGAGCUGAAGAGUGUGUUUUAAGGGGGAGAGGGGCUUCAUAGAAGCUGUGACACCUGGAUGGCCAGGUUUCUUUGAGGAAAAACUCUCAACAGUUUGGUGGCUGUGUUUUCAACAGGAGUAGUCCUAACAUUUUGGAAAGGGCAGUUUAUCAGUGCACUAGACUCUCCUAAGCAUCACGAAACAUUUAGCAGCCUUGGAUCUGUGGUCUUUUCCCACUAGCUUUUGUCAGUUGGAGUUAGGAGGAGCAGUUGGCAUCCUUAUUCUCAAUUUUGACCUUUACAUGUGCUCACACAACCUGACUUUAUUGCUUUCUGAGCAUUCCUGUAGCUGUCAUUCUCAUUUCCUUACAUUGACUGAAGUCUUGGCACACGGCUUAUAGUUUCUUUCUUUUCCCAAAGUCUCACCUGUAUGCCAGGUCACUUCAAGUUAUGUGUGGUUAAUGCAACCAACAUCCUGCCUGUCAACUGCUUGCUGCACCCCCCCCCCCAAAUUUAGCAACCUUUACUUUUCCAUGAAGCCAUCCACCCUCUGAAAUUUGUCAUUAUUUAUGUCAGCUCUACCCUUAAAAACUAUUCUUUGCCCAUUUUUCUAGCUUUCUAACUGAAUGAGUUCCAGUGCAUCUGAACUUCAGCUUGGAAAACUCUUGACUCCCUGUCAGCCUCUGCAUUUUAGUUCUCACCACUUCAGCCAUUACACUCUUUUACUCUUUUCCUUCUAUUGUACCUACCCAGUAAAACCCAACCAUAGGUUGGAAAUUAUAAUAAUAGCUAACAUACACAAAAUGCUUAUGUAUUCCAGACACUUUUCUAAAUUUGUCUUAUUGUCUUUUUUAAUCUUCAUUAUAGCCCAGUGAGACAGGCAUUGUUAUUAUUAAUAUCCCCAUUUUGCAGAUGAGCAAACUAUAAAGGUCAGUUUCAGUAGAUGUUUAUAUGGAACUUCUCAGGAAAAAAUAAAAAUAAAAUAAAUUAAGCUCAGUUUUUGUCUACUUAUUGUUACUAAGAUAUAAACCCAAGCAGUUUGCUCCUAGAAAACAUGCUCUUUACCACGUCUUCAGAUGGCUUUCCAAACCAGCUGUCUUCUCUGCUUUCACACUUGGAUUGCUGAGCUGUUUUUGGAACAGAGUAGGUUUGGCUAGAUGGAGAGUGUUGAAUGCACUUGUCUUAGCCCUUGGCUCAGUAACUAACCCUCUUCGUAGGUCUCCAGCCAAGCCAGGAAAUAGAUAAAGAGGGAAUUAACAAUGAUUAGGUAUUUAAUGCUACCAGCUGCUUCUGGGUUUCUGUAGCCAGAGGGAGGGGAAAAAGAGGGAAAAUGAAAUAAAGAAGAUGCAUCACUUUGGGGAUUGAACUUGACUUGUUACCUCUGCCAGAUGAUCAGGAACCUACUGAUUUUUAGAGAUUUAGACUUGGCUUAAUUGACAAGGGGAUAGACAGGAAAGAGUCCUCUGUCUGUUUUGAGCAAACCACUGUAACUAGUCUUUACUCUGAAUUUCUCUCUCUGGAUGUCCCUCUUUUUGUUCUGGAUUUGUUGACCCUCACAUCGUCACUCGAAGUGACAGGGUAAAGCUUUUGAGAGCUGAUUGCUUUAGUUAAUAGGUCACCUGUGGUACCUUUUAAGUACAGUCAUGCGUUGCUCAUAAUGGAAAUAUGUUCUAAGAAAUGCAUAGUUCGGUGAUUUCAUUGUGCGAACAGCGCAGAGUGUGCUUGCCCAAACCUAGAUGGUACAAGCCUACGACCUGCCUGGGCUGUACAGUACAGUCUGUUGCUCCUAGGCUUCAAACAUGUACAGCAUGUUACUAUACAGAAUGCUGUAGGCAGUUAUAGCUCUGUGGUAUUUGUGUACCUAAACAUAUCUAAACUUAGAAAAGGUAUGGUAAAAAUAGGUAUAAAAGAUUUUUUUUAAAAAGGCACACAUAUAUAGGGUAACUUGGUUAUAAUCUUAUGGGACCACUGUUGUAUGUGCUAUAUGUCAUUCAUCAAAACAUCUAUUAUGCGGUACAUGAUGGCUAUAGUUAUUUUAGGGCUUUGUUCUGACAAUGGUUUUUGUUUCCCUAUAACAAAAAACCUUUCCCAUUGCCAUUCUUAGGUACUUAAAAGGCAAGCUUUUAUUUUCUAAAUAUUUAAAAUAGUAUCAAUAACUUCUUACCUUUAAUCUCACAGAUUCCCCAUAAUUUCUGCAUGUAUUAAUAAUAUUUCAUUGACUGGGCACGGUGGCUCACACCUAUAAUCCUAGCAUUCUGGGAGGCCAA